UGGGGAAUAUUGCACAAUGGGCGCAAGCCUGAUGCAGCCAUGCCGCGUGUGUGAAGAAGGCCUUCGGGUUGUAAAGCACUUUCAGCGGGGAGGAAGGCGAUAAGGUUAAUAACCUCAUCGAUUGACGUUACCCGCAGAAGAAGCACCGGCUAACUCCGUGCCAGCAGCCGCGGUAAUACGGAGGGUGCAAGCGUUAAUCGGAAUUACUGGGCGUAAAGCGCACGCAGGCGGUCUGUCAAGUCGGAUGUGAAAUCCCCGGGCUCAACCUGGGAACUGCAUUCGAAGCUGGCAGGCUAGAGUCUUGUAGAGGGGGGUAGAAUUCCAGGUGUAGCGGUGAAAUGCGUAGAGAUCUGGAGGAAUACCGGUGGCGAAGGCGGCCCCCUGGACAAAGACUGACGCUCAGGUGCGAAAGCGUGGGGAGCAAACAGG
rnacentral:rRNA from 1 species